GACGUAGGAUGCAAGCGUUAUCCGGAAUUAUUGGGCGUAAAGCGUUCGUAGGUGGUUUGUUAAGUAGGAUGUUAAAUCCCUGAGCUCAACUCAGGAUUGGUGUCCUAAACUGGCAGGCUAGAGACAGGUAGGGGCAAGUAGAAUUCUGUAUGUAGGGGUAAUAUCCGUAGAUAUACAGAGGAAUACCAAAAGCGAAGGCAGCUUGCUGGACCUGUUCUGACACUCAAGAACGAAAGCGUGGGGAGCAAACGGG
rnacentral:rRNA from 1 species